AAAAGAAAGUCUCAAAAAGUUUGUAAUUUUUCACAUUUUACUGAUUCAGUAAUGUUUUCUGUAAAUUUUAUUUCCCUAUAUGGAGGUACGAAUGCCGUUUCAAAGCCUUUUUGACUCUGCCAUUAAUUAAAUUCUGUAUUACUCAGGAACAAUACAUGACUAACACAGUAGUCAGUCUGAAAGCUGCCUUGUUUCGGGCCAAACAGCCACAGCAGAGCCAGUGAACAAAAUAACAUCACAAGAUGCAGGGGAACUAACAGAGUAACCUACGACCUCCAUCCUGCAGCUGACUGAGAGCGAGGAGCUGGAUCUUCCUCUAAAACUUUCAUUUGAGGCGUAUGAAGCUGAUGCCGUAGCGCCACCACAGCCGGAACAGGUCCAGCAGGUACCAGUCUGUCUCCUCCAGAAUCACCUCCUCGCCGUUAAACACAGCCGUCUUACCCGCCACACUGCGCCGA